GUAAACACAAUGAACAGACGAAGUAUCAUCGUUUUUUUCACAGAGAGACGGCUAUUUGCUGCAAGGCGGUCAAAAAAAGGUUGAGAAAUGCACCUGUAAGUGGCUUUGGCAAAACCAAAGACGAGUAAAGCUCGUUACGCUUUUAAUGAGAUAAUAAGUAAAGAAAGUGGAACCACGCUUGUAAGCGUCUUUCGA
rnacentral:ncRNA from 1 species